rnacentral:rRNA from 1 species
UAUUAAACUAAUACCACCCUGAACACAUCCGAUCUUGUCCGAUCUCGGCUGCUAAGCAGGGUCGGGCCUGGUUAGUACUUGGAUGGAGGACCGCCUUGGAAAACCAGGAGCUGUAAAAA